GCAGUCGAGCGAUGGAUUAAGAGCUUGCUCUUAUGAAGUUAGCGGCGGACGGGUGAGUAACACGUGGGUAACCUGCCCAUAAGACUGGGAUAACUCCGGGAAACCGGGGCUAAUACCGGAUAACAUUUUGAACCGCAUGGUUCGAAAUUGAAAGGCGGCUUCGGCUGUCACUUAUGGAUGGACCCGCGUCGCAUUAGCUAGUUGGUGAGGUAACGGCUCACCAAGGCAACGAUGCGUAGCCGACCUGAGAGGGUGAUCGGCCACACUGGGACUGAGACACGGCCCAGACUCCUACGGGAGGCAGCAGUAGGGAAUCUUCCGCAAUGGACGAAAGUCUGACGGAGCAACGCCGCGUGAGUGAUGAAGGCUUUCGGGUCGUAAAACUCUGUUGUUAGGGAAGAACAAGUGCUAGUUGAAUAAGCUGGCACCUUGACGGUACCUAACCAGAAAGCCACGGCUAACUACGUGCCAGCAGCCGCGGUAAUACGUAGGUGGCAAGCGUUAUCCGGAAUUAUUGGGCGUAAAGCGCGCGCAGGUGGUUUCUUAAGUCUGAUGUGAAAGCCCACGGCUCAACCGUGGAGGGUCAUUGGAAACUGGGAGACUUGAGUGCAGAAGAGGAAAGUGGAAUUCCAUGUGUAGCGGUGAAAUG
rnacentral:rRNA from 1 species